rnacentral:tRNA from 1 species
ACUAGCCUUUUAAGCUAGAGAAAGAGGACCACCCACCCUCCCUAAUGA